rnacentral:rRNA from 1 species
GAUGAACGCUGGCGGCGUGCCUAAUACAUGCCAGUCGAGCGAACAGACGAGGAGCUUGCUCCUCUGACGUUAGCGGCGGACGGGUGAGUAACGCGUGGAUAACCUACCUAUAAGACUGGGAUAACUUCGGGAAACCGGAGCUAAUACCGGAUAAUAUAUUGAACCGCAUGGUUCAAUAGUGAAAGACGGUUUUGCUGUCACUUAUAGAUGGAUCCGCGCCGCAUUAGCUAGUUGGUAAGGUAACGGCUUACCAAGGCAACGAUGCGUAGCCGACCUGAGAGGGUGAUCGGCCACACUGGAACUGAGACACGGUCCAGACUCCUACGGGAGGCAGCAGUAGGGAAUCUUCCGCAAUGGGCGAAAGCCUGACGGAGCAACGCCGCGUGAAUGAUGAAGGUCUUCGGAUCGUAAAACUCUGUUAUUAGGGAAGAACAAAUGUGUAAGUAACUAUGCACGUCUUGACGGUACCUAAUCAGAAAGCCACGGCUAACUACGUG